UGGGGAAUAUUACACAAUGGAGGGAACUCUGAUGCAGCGACGCCGCGUGAACGAAGAAGGCUUUCGAGUCGUAAAGUUCUUUUAUAUGGGAAGAUAAUGACGGUACCAUAAGAAAAAGCCCCGGCUAACUACGUGCCAGCAGCCGCGGUAAUACGUAGGGGGCUAGCGUUGUCCGGAAUCACUGGGCGUAAAGGGUUCGCAGGCGGAAAUGCAAGUCAGGUGUAAAAGGCAGUAGCUUAACUACUGUAAGCAUUUGAAACUGCAUAUCUUGAGAAGAGUAGAGGUAAGUGGAAUUUUUAGUGUAGCGGUGAAAUGCGUAGAUAUUAAAAAGAAUACCGGUGGCGAAGGCGGCUUACUGGGCUCAUUCUGACGCUGAGGAACGAAAGCGUGGGUAGCAAACAGG
rnacentral:rRNA from 1 species